rnacentral:rRNA from 1 species
AUACGGAGGGGGCUAGCGUUGUUCGGAAUUACUGGGCGUAAAGCGCGCGCAGGCGGUCUUUUAAGUUGGAUGUGAAAGCCUACAGCUCAACUGUAGAACUGCAUCCAAAACUAUUAGACUAGAGUCUGGGAGGGGAAGAUGGAAUUAGUUGUGUAGGGGUAAAAUCCGUAGAGAUAACUAGGAAUACCAAAAGCGAAGGCGAUCUUCUGGAACAGUACUGACGCUGAGGCGCGAAAGCGUGGGGAGCAAACAGGAUUAGAAACCCGUGUAGUCC